rnacentral:rRNA from 1 species
CGGCCCACCUAGCCUACGACGGGUACGGGCCCUGAGAGGGGGAGCCCGGAGAUGGGCACUGAGACAAGGGUCUAGGCCCUAAGGGGUGCAGCAGGCGCGAAGAUUCCGCAAUGCCCGAAAGGGCGACGGAGUGAACCCGAGUGCCACCCGCUGAGGGUGGCUGUUCCCCUGUGUAAAAAGCAGGGGGUAGAAAGGGGAGGGCAAGGCUGGUGGCAGCCGCCGCGGUAAAACCAGCUCCCCGAGGGGUUCCCACGCAUACUGGGCCUAAAGCGUCCGUAGCCGGCCCUGCAAGUCUGCAGUUAAAUCCGCCUGUAGACAGGCGGGCUGCUGCAGAUACUGCAGGGCUAGGGAGCGGGAGGAGCCGGGGGUAUUCCCGGGGGAGCGGUAAAAUGCGUAGAUCCCGGGAGGACCACCAGUGGCGAAGGCGCCCGGCUUGAACGCGUCCGACGGUGAGGGACGAAAGCUGGGGGAGCAAACCGGAUUAGAUACCCGGGUAGUCCCAGCCGUAAACGAUGCCGGCUAGGUGCUGGCCAAGGUUUCGGCCUUGGCCAGUGUCGAAGCGAAGGCAUUAAGCCGGCCGCCUGAGGAGUACGGCCGCAAGGCUGAAACUUGAAGGAAUUGACGGGGGGGCACCACAAGGGGUGAAUGCCUGCGGCUUAAUUGGACUCAACGCCGGGAAUCUUACCGGGGGCGACAGCAGGAUGAAGGUCAGGCUGAAGACCUUACCAGACGCGCUGAGGGGUGGUGCAUGGCCGUCGCCAGCUCGUGCCGUGAGGUGUCCUGUUAAGUCAGGCAACGAGCGAGACCCCCGCCCCUAGUUGCCAGCGGCCUCCUUCGGGAGGGACCGGGCAAACUAGGGGGACCGCCUCCGAAGAGGAGGAGGAAGGUGGGGGCUACGGCAGGUCAGUAUGCCCCUAAUCCCCCGG